rfam:Asian citrus Psyllid, Diaphorina citri - Florida Strain, whole genome shotgun sequence.
GCCUGGUUAGCUUAGUUGGUAGUGCGUCUGCCUUGUAAGCGCUAGGCCGCGGGUUCGAUUCCCGCCCGGGGC